UACGUAGGGUGCAAGCGUUGUCCGGAAUUAUUGGGCGUAAAGAGCUCGUAGGCGGUUUGUCGCGUCUGCUGUGAAAUCCCAGGGCUUAACCCUGGGCCUGCGGUGGGUACGGGCAAACUAGAGUGCGGUAGGGGAGAUCGGAAUUCCUGGUGUAGCGGUGAAAUGCGCAGAUAUCAGGAGGAACACCGGUGGCGAAGGCGGAUCUCUGGGCCGUAACUGACGCUGAGGAGCGAAAGCAUGGGUAGCGAACAGG
rnacentral:rRNA from 1 species